GUCUGGUGGCGAGUGGCGAACGGGUGAGUAAUGUAUCGGAACGUGCCUAGUAGCGGGGGAUAACUACGCGAAAGCGUAGCUAAUACCGCAUACGCCCUACGGGGGAAAGCAGGGGAUCGCAAGACCUUGCACUAUUAGAGCGGCCGAUAUCGGAUUAGCUAGUUGGUGGGGUAACGGCUCACCAAGGCGACGAUCCGUAGCUGGUUUGAGAGGACGACCAGCCACACUGGGACUGAGACACGGCCCAGACUCCUACGGGAGGCAGCAGUGGGGAAUUUUGGACAAUGGGGGAAACCCUGAUCCAGCCAUCCCGCGUGUGCGAUGAAGGCCUUCGGGUUGUAAAGCACUUUUGGCAGGAAAGAAACGUCAUGGGUUAAUACCCCGUGAAACUGACGGUACCUGCAGAAUAAGCACCGGCUAACUACGUGCCAGCAGCCGCGGUAAUACGUAGGGUGCAAGCGUUAAUCGGAAUUACUGGGCGUAAAGCGUGCGCAGGCGGUUCGGAAAGAAAGAUGUGAAAUCCCAGAGCUUAACUUUGGAACUGCAUUUUUAAUCUACCGAGCUAGAGUGUGUCAGAGGGAGGUGGAAUUCCGCGUGUAGCAGUGAAAUGCGUAGAUAUGCGGAGGAACACCGAUGGCGAAGGCAGCCUCCUGGGAUAAC
rnacentral:rRNA from 1 species